rnacentral:rRNA from 1 species
AACACGUAGGGUAACCUGCCUGUAAGACUGGGAUAACUCCGGGAAACCGGAGCUAAUACCGGAUAGUUCCUUGAACCGCAUGGUUCAAGGAUGAAAGACGGUUUCGGCUGUCACUUACAGAUGGACCCGCGGCGCAUUAGCUAGUUGGUGGGGUAAUGGCUCACCAAGGCGACGAUGCGUAGCCGACCUGAGAGGGUGAUCGGCCACACUGGGACUGAGACACGGCCCAGACUCCUACGGGAGGCAGCAGUAGGGAAUCUUCCGCAAUGGACGAAAGUCUGACGGAGCAACGCCGCGUGAGUGAUGAAGGUUUUCGGAUCGUAAAGCUCUGUUGUUAGGGAAGAACAAGUGCGAGAGUAACUGCUCGCACCUUGACGGUACCUAACCAGAAAGCCACGGCUAACUACGUGCCAGCAGCCGCGGUAAUACGUAGGUGGCAAGCGUUGUCCGGAAUUAUUGGGCGUAAAGGGCUCGCAGGCGGUUUCUUAAGUCUGAUGUGAAAGCCCCCGGCUCAACCGGGGAGGGUCAUUGGAAACUGGGAAACUUGAGUGCAGAAGAGGAGAGUGGAAUUCCACGUGUAGCGGUGAAAUGCGUAGAGAUGUGGAGGAACACCAGUGGCGAAGGCGACUCUCUGGUCUGUAACUGACGCUGAGGAGCGAAAGCGUGGGGAGCGAACAGGAUUAGAUACCCUGGUAGUCCACGCCGUAAACGAUGAGUGCUAAGUGUUAGGGGGUUUCCGCCCCUUAGUGCUGCAGCUAACGCAUUAAGCACUCCGCCUGGGGAGUACGGUCGCAGGACUGAAACUCAAAGGAAAUUGACGGGGGCCCGCACAAGCGGUGGGAGCAAUGUGGUUUUAAUUCGAGCAAACGCGAAGAACCUUUACCCAGGUCCUUGACAUCCUCUGACAACCCCUAGAGAGAUAGGGCUUUCCCUUCGGGGACAGAGUGACAGGUGGUGCAUGGUUGUCGUCAGCUCGUGUCGUGAGAUGUUGGGUUAAGUCCCGCAACGAGCGCAACCCUUGAUCUUAGUUGCCAGCAUUCAGUUGGGCACUCUAAGGUGACUGCCGGUGACAAACCGGAGGAAGGUGGGGAUGACGUCAAAUCAUCAUGCCCCUUAUGACCUGGGCUACACACGUGCUACAAUGGACAGA